rnacentral:pre_miRNA from 1 species
AGACAGAGAAGCCAGGUCACGUCUCUGCAGUUACACAGCUCACGAGUGCCUGCUGGGGUGGAACCUGGUCUGUCUGUCU